UACAGAGGUCUCAAGCGUUGUUCGGAUUCAUUGGGCGUAAAGGGUGCGUAGGCGGCGCGGUAAGUCGGGUGUGAAAUCUCGGGGCUUAACUCCGAAACUGCAUUCGAUACUGCCGUGCUUGAGGACUGGAGAGGAGACUGGAAUUUACGGUGUAGCGGUGAAAUGCGUAGAUAUCGUAAGGAAGACCGUGGCGAAGGCGGGUCGUCGUGGACAGUUCCUGACGCUGAGGCAGCGAAGGCC
rnacentral:rRNA from 1 species